UACCAGCACCCCGAGUGGUCGGGACGAUUAUUGGGCCUAAAGCAUCCGUAGCCGGUUUUACAAGUCCUCCGUUAAAUCCAGCUGCUUAACAGAUGGGCUGCGGAGGAUACUAUAAGACUAGGAGGCAGGAGAGGCAAGCGGUACUCAGUGGGUAGGGGUAAAAUCCGUUGAUCCAUUGAAGACCACCAGUGGCGAAGGCGGCUUGCCAGAAUGCGCUCGACGGUGAGGGAUGAAGCUGGGGAGCAAACCGG
rnacentral:rRNA from 1 species